UUAAGCGACUAAGCGUACACGGUGGAUGCCCUGGCAGUCAGAGGCGAUGAAGGACGUGCUAAUCUGCGAAAAGCGUCGGUAAGGUGAUAUGAACCGUUACAGCCGGCGAUGUCCGAAUGGGGAAACCCAGUGCAAUUCGUUGCACUAUCGUUAACUGAAUACAUAGGUUAACGAGGCGAACCGGGGGAACUGAAACAUCUAAGUACCCCGAGGAAAAGAAAUCAACCGAGAUUCCCCCAGUAGCGGCGAGCGAACGGGGAGCAGCCCAGAGUCUGAAUCAGCUUGUGUGUUAGUGGAACGGUCUGGAAAGUCCGACGGUACAGGGUGAUAGUCCCGUACACCAAAAUGCACAGGUUGUGAACUCGAAGAGUAGGGCGGGACACGUGGUAUCCUGUCUGAAUAUGGGGGGACCAUCCUCCAAGGCUAAAUACUCCUGACUGACCGAUAGUGAACCAGUACCGUGAGGGAAAGGCGAAAAGAACCCCGGCGAGGGGAGUGAAAAAGAACCUGAAACCGUGUACGUACAAGCAGUGGGAGCACCUUCGGGUGUGACUGCGUACCUUUUGUAUAAUGGGUCAGCGACUUAUAUUCUGUAGCAAGGUUAACCGUAUAGGGGAGCCGCAGGGAAACCGAGUCUUAACUGGGCGUUAAGUUGCAGGGUAUAGACCCGAAACCCGGUGAUCUAGCCAUGGGCAGGUUGAAGGUUGGGUAACACUAACUGGAGGACCGAACCGACUAAUGUUGAAAAAUUAGCGGAUGACUUGUGGCUGGGGGUGAAAGGCCAAUCAAACCGGGAGAUAGCUGGUUCUCCCCGAAAGCUAUUUAGGUAGCGCCUCGUGAACUCAUCUUCGGGGGUAGAGCACUGUUUCGGCUAGGGGGUCAUCCCGACUUACCAACCCGAUGCAAACUACGAAUACCGAAGAAUGUUAUCACGGGAGACACACGGCGGGUGCUAACGUCCGUCGUGAAGAGGGAAACAACCCAGACCGCCAGCUAAGGUCCCAAAGUCAUGGUUAAGUGGGAAACGAUGUGGGAAGGCACAGACAGCCAGGAUGUUGGCUUAGAAGCAGCCAUCAUUUAAAGAAAGCGUAAUAGCUCACUGGUCGAGUCGGCCUGCGCGGAAGAUGUAACGGGGCUAAACCAUGCACCGAAGCUGCGGCAGCGACACUAUGUGUUGUUGGGUAGGGGAGCGUUCUGUAAGCCUGCGAAGGUGUGCUGUGAGGCAUGCUGGAGGUAUCAGAAGUGCGAAUGCUGACAUAAGUAACGAUAAAGCGGGUGAAAAGCCCGCUCGCCGGAAGACCAAGGGUUCCUGUCCAACGUUAAUCGGGGCAGGGUGAGUCGACCCCUAAGGCGAGGCCGAAAGGCGUAGUCGAUGGGAAACAGGUUAAUAUUCCUGUACUUGGUGUUACUGCGAAGGGGGGACGGAGAAGGCUAUGUUAGCCGGGCGACGGUUGUCCCGGUUUAAGCAUGUAGGCUGGUUAUCCAGGCAAAUCCGGAUAAUCAAGGCUGAGGUGUGAUGACGAGGCACUACGGUGCUGAAGUAACAAAUGCCCUGCUUCCAGGAAAAGCCUCUAAGCAUCAGGUAACAUCAAAUCGUACCCCAAACCGACACAGGUGGUCAGGUAGAGAAUACCAAGGCGCUUGAGAGAACUCGGGUGAAGGAACUAGGCAAAAUGGUGCCGUAACUUCGGGAGAAGGCACGCUGGUGUGUAGGUGAAGUCCCUGCGGAUGGAGCUGAGACCAGUCGAAGAUACCAGCUGGCUGCAACUGUUUAUUAAAAACACAGCACUGUGCAAACACGAAAGUGGACGUAUACGGUGUGACGCCUGCCCGGUGCCGGAAGGUUAAUUGAUGGGGUUAUCCGUAAGGAGAAGCUCUUGAUCGAAGCCCCGGUAAACGGCGGCCGUAACUAUAACGGUCCUAAGGUAGCGAAAUUCCUUGUCGGGUAAGUUCCGACCUGCACGAAUGGCGUAAUGAUGGCCAGGCUGUCUCCACCCGAGACUCAGUGAAAUUGAACUCGCUGUGAAGAUGCAGUGUACCCGCGGCAAGACGGAAAGACCCCGUGAACCUUUACUAUAGCUUGACACUGAACAUUGAGCCUUGAUGUGUAGGAUAGGUGGGAGGCUUUGAAGCGUGGACGCCAGUCUGCGUGGAGCCAACCUUGAAAUACCACCCUUUAAUGUUUGAUGUUCUAACGUUGGCCCCUGACCGGGGUUGCGGACAGUGUCUGGUGGGUAGUUUGACUGGGGCGGUCUCCUCCCAAAGCGUAACGGAGGAGCACGAAGGUUAGCUAAUCCUGGUCGGACAUCAGGAGGUUAGUGCAAUGGCAUAAGCUAGCUUGACUGCGAGCGUGACGGCGCGAGCAGGUGCGAAAGCAGGUCAUAGUGAUCCGGUGGUUCUGAAUGGAAGGGCCAUCGCUCAACGGAUAAAAGGUACUCCGGGGAUAACAGGCUGAUACCGCCCAAGAGUUCAUAUCGACGGCGGUGUUUGGCACCUCGAUGUCGGCUCAUCACAUCCUGGGGCUGAAGUAGGUCCCAAGGGUAUGGCUGUUCGCCAUUUAAAGUGGUACGCGAGCUGGGUUUAGAACGUCGUGAGACAGUUCGGUCCCUAUCUGCCGUGGGCGCUGGAGAAUUGAGGGGGCUGCUCCUAGUACGAGAGGACCGGAGUGGACGCAUCACUGGUGUUCGGGUUGUCAUGCCAAUGGCACUGCCCGGUAGCUAAAUGCGGAAGAGAUAAGUGCUGAAAGCAUCUAAGCACGAAACUUGCCCCGAGAUGAGUUCUCCCUGAGACUAUAAGUCUCCUGAAGGAACGUUAAAGACGAUGACGUUGAUAGGCCGGGUGUGUAAGCGCAGCGAUGCGUUGAGCUAACCGGUACUAAUGAACCGUGAGGCUUAACCUU
rnacentral:rRNA from 1 species